rnacentral:lncRNA from 1 species
AACCUAAGCAACAAUUUAACCACAAAUCACAAUAAACACACAUUACAAUCAAAAGCCUGAAAUAUUAACUAUAGCUAUUUGAGAUUCGACUACAUUUAGUAUUACAUGCUCAAAUCAGCUGAAGAGUAAGAUAUUACUCAUUACAUAGCUCCAGCUCCAUCGAACCGAAAGCAACUGUUCCAAGCAAUUCCUCUUUCCAUAACCCACCAUGAGAAUUAACAAAAAUAUAUUUGAUAUGAAAUACACAAUGAGCUUCCUACUCAGCAGCUACUUUACCCUUACAUAAGUGAAACUAAGGCUUAAUUUGCUAAAUGAGUGCAACGGUUAUCAGUUUUGUCUUUGUAUAUCUUCUUUGAUCAUAAAUCUACAACAGAUGCCAUAAUUCACAGAAAAGUUGAGGAACCGAAUAAAUCUCUGAAACUAAGGGCAACAUAAGAAAGGCAAACUGACAAGUAAUACCUGUUCUCACCUUGCCAACAAGCCACCCAAAGCCAUACUACUGUCCAUGACGUUUCUAACUGCCCCUUCAUCGUGCUGUCCUCUGGAACUCAAUUUUCCCUCUCCCUUUCAGGGUUUAACUUCCAUACGACAAAUACAAUGCAUAAUAAAAAACUAACACUUAGAGAAAGAGAGAUCUGUUCAUCAUAUCAAGAAAUCGAUACCUCAAGUGCAUACAAGGGAGAAUCCACACCUUCUACGGAACAAGCAUGUAAUACUAAAUGUAGUCGAAUCUCAAAUAGCUAUAGUUAAUAUUUCCGGUGCAAGGGACGAGCUGCUGCUGCCUGCAGGGACGAGCUGUACUGCUGCUGCUGCCUGCUGGGACUGGAGAAAGGGAGGGAGGCGCCGGUGGGAGAGGCAGCGGCGCCGGUGCCGGUGGGAGGCGGGGAUGGGAGGUCGGAAAAGACAGAAAGGGAGGGGUGGAGGCGGGUGGAAUGGGAUGGCCGAAUGGAACAG